UACUUCGUUAUCCAGAAGCAGCUGAUGGGUUCGGGAACAGACGGAUAAGUCUCGCGCGAAAGAGAUCGGAUUCAUUGGCGGUUGGCUCAGUGAGGUGUGCGUUAUUUGUGUGUGUUCAAUACUUUUUAUGCGAGUGUGUAUGUAUCGCACGUGUCUGUGUAUGUCAAUGAACUGCCGAGGGUUUCACACAGUGCGUACACAGUGCUGGCUUCGGUUUGGCUAUUAGGAGGCGUGCCAGACACAACGAUUGCAUUUAGCUGCAAACCGCGCUGUUUUUAUCAGCACUCAUUCAGCCGUUACACUUCAAACAGUCUGCGAUCUUCUCACUGAGCAGACACUCUGUGGAAGUGAAAAAAAAAUCUCUCGUCGGGUAUUGAGCAAUUACCAAACACCGAGGCGAGGUGGCGGUGUUUCGGAGUCGUGAAAGGAUAACUUUCUAGUUCUUUCAUCUGCUGCUUUUCCCGACGUCCCUUGGAUCAAUAAAUAGCCCUCAACUACAGCAAUCCUCCAUCCCAGACCCAUCAUCGCUUUACCUGGAUUUCAUAACUGUUGGAAAUAUAUCAAUCUUGCCCAGACGUCUGAUCAUCAUCAUCAUCAACCUGCAUCUCAUUCCUCUCCCAGUAGUGAAAAAUAUUGGAUUUUAAACUUGGAAUAAAUCACUCAUUUCUUUAUUUCGCUUGUUAGUCAUCACUUAAUCUCUUCAACCGAGAUGGAAGCCGAUCAAAUAUUUACUGCUGACUGCAUCAAGAAGAGGCGGAUUAGAGGGGGCAAGGUGCAAUAUUUGGUGAAGUGGAGGGGAUGCUCUAGCAAAUACAAUACCUGGGAGCCCGAGCAUAAUAUUUUAGAUCUGAGCUUGGUUCGUGACUUCGAGGAAAGGUAAGUCUAUUCAAUUUACUUUUAUUUUCGAUUUAUUAAUGUAUUUUACAUUUUGUCUUGUUUUACUUCCAACAUCGCUUCCAUCAGUGUCCAUAAUCCAGCUGAACAAAAAGGCAAGUAUGGAAAUUGUUCAAUCUGCAGUUGUCAUAGCAACUUGGUAAAAUCUAUCAAGGAGCAAAGAUAGUUUAGUUUUCAUUUGGUAUGCUAAGAUGAGGAAUUUCCACUUUGUGAUUACAGACUGUAGGCAGUCUCUUCUCUUACAUCUCUUACAUUUUUUAAUAACAGUCAUACCAAAAAAAAAAAGACUCCAAACCAUCCAGUGGUAUGUCGUUGCUAUAUUUUGUAUAAACCUUUAUCAGUGUGCAGUCGGUUUGGUUCGUGUUAGUCUGCAGUAACAGACCCUGAUUGAAACUUUGAUCAGCAAGUGUGUCUCCACGCAAAGACUAGCACAUACAAAACUUGCUGUUUCAAUACAGCGAGAGGGCCUUCAGUACACAAGGCAUUAGUAGGCUGCACAUUCAUAUUCAGACCAUUAACUCGAGUGAAGGGUUUGCACAGCAGACCAUUCGUGUUGCCGCGAUAUUGGCACCGAAUAUUCAAUAGCGAGUUUUCGAUGCAUUCCACAAUAUAGUGUAUCUAAUGAAAAUGUCCAUCAAAUCUCUAAGAGGUCUUUGUCGAAAAUUGUUGAACCGGGACAGCACAUCGUCCUAAGAUUCGAUGCUGACAGAAAAUUUCCAAUACUAAUAUGUCGUUUGUCCAGAGUCUAGGACGACACUGCUGUUUGAUUCACUGAUUUUCGACAAAGGCUGCUUAGUAUUGUCAUGAAGGGUUUUUGACAAUAGAUUCUCAGCGUUCCAGAAAGCGUCUGCGUAGUGGUUGCGAACACUUCCUAUAAUUUGUAUGGAACUUCACAGACCAAAAUAUAACGAUGAUAAGAUAAUACGUCCACUCUUGAGGGAAUGGAUAAUAAUCAUUCCUGAUUCCCACCUCGGUGUGAUAUCAAAAUCCUUCCAUAUGUAUAGGCCUAAAUGGUGAGCAUUGGAGGCGGCAGUGCAUUUUGAUAGGGGUAAGAUGACCUUCAGGUCUUUUGUCUCUUUUUUCCAAACCUUAGUUAUUUCUUCCUUUCUUCAUAUUAUUUUCCCCUCCUCUCCCCCAUACUUGAAAAAGUGCCCCUUGCCCCAUGUAGCGUCGCCCCUGAGAACCUCCGAAGAGGUGGUUUCCAAUUCGUCUAUAAUGCCAAGUCGUCAAAUAGCCAACUCGUCUGCUCUCAUAUUUUGGUCUACCAUCAGCUCGUCCACUAUCCAUAGGGUCUUAUUGACAAUUUAUCCACUCACCAUUUCGUCUAAUAACCAGGUGGUCCAAUAGCCAUUUAGUCCAUGUAUCAUUUGGUCUAAUUGGACUCGGUAAUUAUUGUGUAAAAUGAAUGAAAAUGAAAAUGAAAUGGAUAUUAGACCCAACUGAUUAUGGGACGAAUUGGUCAUAGGCGAAAUGGUGAUUAGACGAAGUGAUGAUUGGACCAAAUAGUUGAUAGACGAUAUGUUGAUUGACGGAAUGGCAUUGGACUAAAUGAAAGUAAACCAUGUGGCAUGUGUGGUGAGUGGACGAGCUGGCAGAAGACGAAUUGGCAAUUUACCCUAAGCGAUGACCCUACCCCCCUCCCCCUCCCUUGAUCCCCCUUUCAGCAAAUCACUUCAUAACAUAACUCCAUACCAUAACCAUGAUAACUGUUUUUACAAUUUUAACAAUACUUACCGCAAACCGAGUCACAUGCUUUUGGCUUUUAACCAUAUUACUUCAAUUCAAAUUAUUUUUUCGGACGCAAGCCAAAAAAUCAUUUUAAAGGGGAUGUCCACCCUGACGUGAUGGCGGUUUAGAAAAUGAGAUACAUAUUUAUGAACUAAGUUUUGGCGAAAGUCCACCAAAGAAUAUUAGUCUUGAAAUAAUAGCCAGAGCUCGAGUUAUAAAAUCGCGAAACAUGGCAGUUAAUAUGAUUAAACAGUAUAAGGAAAGAAUGCGAAGGAACAUAAUGAUGGGGCAUUAUAUGAAAUUACUCACUUUUACAAGCUAUUUUGAAGAAAAUGAUGAUGUAUUUUGAAGUAAGGCCCACUUUACACAGAGUGAACAACAAAUUUAGUUUGUUUUUUUUUUUUUUUUAAUAAAAUUGAGAUUCAACUGCUUUGCCAAAAACUUGACUGGAAGGCUGUAUACGACAUCUUGGAUCAGCAACGUCUACCGAGCAAAAAGGGAGUUGAAAAGAAAAAUAGUCACGAAGAUGAUGAAUAUUGACAGUUGGCUCUAACAUGAGAUAUUACAUUACUAUCUCGGAUGUAGAAUAGCGUGUUUGUGAAUAGAGUAAGACCUCAAUCACAUAUUUGUGGUUCAUUCUGGACGUUGAUUGCAAUGUCGAUUGGAAGUUUGUAUGAUUUUUAUGAUCCGUGAAUAAGUUGGGCUAUUUUGGACCAUAUCGAAUCCAUAAUAAUUCACCAAGACCAAGGGUUGUUUAAACUGAACUCCAUUAAAAAUUCCGUCACAGCUUGGAGUAGUAGGUCCAUGGUCACAGCAAUGAAAGUUUAUUCCAUAAAAAUAUAAUAUGGAUUGUGGUCAAUUUUAGUAGGUAUGUUAUUAAAAGAGAUUCUUACC